rnacentral:ncRNA from 1 species
GGAUAAAGUGUUUGAACCGAACCCUUUCCAAAAGUUUUAGUGCCUAUUAAAAUGGCUCUAUGAUUAUCUUGAAGUGCGCCAGCGACAAUCUCUGAAGCAGAAGCAGAUCCGCCGUUUACAAGGAUAAUUAGAGGCAUUCCAUGGAUAAUAUCUCCAGGUUUGGCAUUAAAAGAUCGUGUCGUGUUCUGAAAUCUUGGUCUCUUUGUCGAUACGAUCUCACCUUUCUCAAGAAACAUAUUAGUCACCUCUAUUGCCUGUCUUAAUAGACCUCCUGG